GACGAACGCUGGCGGCGUGCCUAAUACAUGCAAGUCGAGCGAACAGACGAGGCGCUUGCUCCUCUGACGUUAGCGGCGGACGGGUGAGUAACACGUGGAUAACCUACCUAUCAGACUGGGAUAACUUCGGGAAACCGGAGCUAAUCCCGGAUAAUAUCUUGAACCGCAUGGUUCAAUGGUGAAAGUCGGUUUUGCUGUCACUUAUAGAUGGAUCUCCGCCGCAUUAGCUAGUUGGUAGGGUAACGGGUUACCAAGGGGACGAUGCGUGACCGACCUGAGAGGGUGAUCGGCCACACUGGAACGUGGACACGGUCCAGGCUCCUACGGGAGGCAGCAGUAGGGAAUCUUCCGCAAUGGGCGAAAGCCUGACGGAGCAGCGCCGCGUGAGUGAUGAAGGUCUUCCGAUCGUAAAACUCUGUUAUUAGGGAAGAACAGAUGUGUAAGUAACUAUGCACGUCGUGACGGUACCUGAUCAGAAAGCCACGGCUAACUACGUG
rnacentral:rRNA from 1 species